UUUUCUUGGAUAAGGGGUGGACAUUUGACGGAAAUGGCUGGAUAGCAGCUCGCAUACCACUACUAAUGACUCCCAAGAGCUCUUAUCGACGAAGUCGUUUGGCACCUCGAUGUUGACUCAUCACAUCCUGGGGUUGAAGAAUUUCCCGAGGGUUCGGUUGUUCACUGAUGAAAGUGAUACAUGAGUUGGGUUUACAACACCGUGAGACAGAUCGGUUCCUAUCAGCUGUUGGUGUACAAGGGAGAACUGCGAGGAGCCAACCCUAGUAUGAGACGACUGGGUUGGGUCAACCUAUGGUGUCCUGGUUGUUAUGCCAAUAGCAGCGCUGGGCAGCUAAGUUGGUAUGGAAAAACUGUUGUGUCAUUGGAAGUCCUCUAUACAAGUUCUCGUACGAGGUUUUUGAAUGAAACUUCGAUGGCCAAGAGGUAUAAGCAUCGCGAGGUGUGAAAUGAUAUUGAACGUGUUCGUG
rnacentral:ncRNA from 1 species